AGGAGAAUCGUAUAUACUGAGAGAGAUUAACAUGAUGGCACUGGCAGCCUCUCAUUUCAUCAUCACCUCAUCUCUUUCACUGUUACACUCUUUUUCUGGCUAAAUUCCACGAAUAAGUAGACACCUUCAUCCCUCUCUACGAUCCAUCUCUAAUCUUCAACAACCAGACCUUCAACAAUCAUCAUCACCAACACAUCUACGCCAACGCCGCCGCCGAUCCCGCUAUUCAAGACAUCAGCCUCGUUUUCGACCAUCCCGCCCAGAGCCUCUCCCUCUCCCUCUCCCUCUCUUCGCACCUCCCUCUCGAAUUGAAUCCUCCGGCGCCGGUGUCGGUGCCGCUGGGGCCCUUCAUGCCAGUGCCUGACCUGCUUUUGUAUCCAAGGGAGACACGCAUCAGCCUGAUGCGUGUAUGUUUAGAGACGCUAAUUCGUCAUGCGUGUUUCAUUUUAGAGACGCGAGAGGGAGACGCGUCUAUAAGUAAACACGCGACAAGCUCUCGCGUCUUUCCCCUUUCUGGAAACUCUACUAACAAUACUUUAAUUACAUUUUCUCUCUACAUCUCUCUUACUUUACCAAUUUUAUAUUAAAACCUGUGCCGUCCCCAAAGUGCAUAUUCUUUGGGGACGGAGGGAGUAGUAACUUAGAAUUGUCAAAGCAACAUCAUAUCAUCUGCAUGAAAUGAUCUGUUUCCUAGAGGAUAACAUUCAUAAAAGUAGUGUUAAAUCCAAUUUGACUCACUUCUGGCGGUAACAUUGAGAAGCAUUAUAUUUUUGGUACAAAUUUGCAGGCUGAUUUGUAUUUGGCACCUCAGCAAUUAAUGGUUCAGCGUUGAUAUGGUAUGUCUUCAUUGAAACCCCACAAAGCACUUAUGAUGGAAUGGAAUGGAAUAAAGAUAGGAAUGUAAUGAAAAUUCUUUUGCAUUUCCGUUCUAUUCCAUCAUAUCAAGCAAAGAAUGGAAUGGAAUGGAAGUAGGAGUCACAUUCCAUUCCCUCAUUCUAUUCCAUUCCAUCAUACCAACAAGGGCUUCUUGUAUCAAUUUACUGUUUCAAUACCUUAAAUUCAUUUUCAUUUAUGUACAUUGAGCUCCAAAUUUUAUCGUUUCAGUUACUUAGGAAUACAUUUUCAUAUCAUGCAAGUAUUACACUCUUUUGUUUCUUGUAUGCUUUGAAACAGCUUAAUACUUGAGCUCCAAAUAUUUCUGGUAAACAUUAUGAACUUUUUCUGUACUGAAUUUUUUUUAUAAUUCAGAUGUUUAAUUUCUGUAAAUUAUGGACAUGGGUUUCUUUUCCAUUAAACUACAGGUUUCCAUUUUCCAUUUCUUAUUCCUUUACAUCUAUCAUGCUUAUGAACGAACCUAAAACCUUCUAAUCAUGACUCUGGUUUUGAAUGUGAGCAGAAAGAGUUCCCUCUUUUGUCAAAGCUCAACGAGGCAUACAAAGAACUCCCUGCUUUUCGAGAUGCAAUGCCUGGGAAGCAGCUUGACACGCCACCUGAGGCGAGAGACUGAUGAUAAUGUAUGCUUUGGUGCCCAAGCAAGAGAUGCACUGUAUUACUCCAUUCAAUAAGGUGGAAUCAUUAAUGAAAGGACCUCUGUAUAGCUUGUAAGCACACAACGCAUCAGUCCUUAGCUCUGUGAUUAAUACAAGUUGUGGUACUUGCCCAAACUUAGCUGAUAUGCCAGGAGUAUGGAAGGUCUACCGCCGUGGAAAUAGGGGGGUGGUUUGGCCGGUGGAGAAGAAUGAGGAGGCAGGCGCGGUAGGUGGAGGAAAAUGAGGAGGCAGGCGAGGAAAGAGUUAAGCGGCUAGUUUGUUUAGUUUGUUCCUAUUUUCUUGUAAUUCAAUUACUUUCUGUUAGAUCCAUAGUCUAUAAAUGUAGAGACGCUAGAGAGAAUAGAUAUCUCGGUUAGUGAUCACUUGUUUGGACAACGGAUUGUCGUAGGCCUCCGUAGUGAUGAUUGUCUUUCGUUACUUUGAUUUCUAUCAAUAAAGUCUGCUACUUCCUCUACAAA